rnacentral:rRNA from 1 species
UACGUAGGUGGCAAGCGUUGUCCGGAUUUACUGGGCGUAAAGAGCGCGCAGGCGGUCGUUCAAGUCGCGUGUGAAAGCCCCCGGCUCAACUGGGGAGGGUCACGCGAUACUGAUCGACUCGAAGGCAGGAGAGGGUAGUGGAAUUCCCGGUGUAGCGGUGAAAUGCGCAGAUAUCAGGAGGAACACCGAUGGCGAAGGCAGCCCCCUGGGCUAGCACUGACGCUCAGGCACGGAAGCGUGGGGAGCAAACAGG